rnacentral:tRNA from 2 species
GGCUUGAUUCUGUUGGUUUGUUUCCGGAUUGCAAAUCCGUGAAGACCGGUUCGAUUCCGGUACCCGCCUCCA